CAGUAAUGAGAAAGAAUCUUUGCACUUCAAAGUAUUCUUUGAAUACAGAAAAUACUUCAUUUAGGAAGAAAAAAAGAAAUUACACUGUGAAGCCUGAGUUACCAAAGAAGACAGACCAGAUAGAUUACCUAAAAUUCCUGUCUGCCUGUAAAAUCUGUACAUUUUAAGGCACACAGAAACUGUCAUGACAUUUGCGAGAAUUAUUUUUACUGAAAUAACCCUUGCCUUUGGAGCAACCAAGAUUGUAAGCAGACAUGCAUUUUCUCUGCCCAGAAGAGCAACCAGAGCAGGAAAAUGGGGCGUGACACCAACUCUUUGGCCUCCAUGUGCAAAUGUUAUUGUCAAGCCCUUAUGAGUAAGUCAUUAUCUGCAUGACUCAAACUUAAUAAAAAUUGUAGUUGUUGCUUGAAGCAGUGUGUUUUGUGUUGUGAGACCUUCAGGGUAAAUAAUCCAGGAUAAUCCAGAGUAAAUUCUGUGUAGAGUUGCCUUAUUUCCUUCCCUUGUUCAACUCCAUCUAAACCCCAUGCUGAAAAGCCUGUCAGAAUUGUCUGAUUUAUAAAUUGCUGUAAUUGCUGGUGUGACAAAGCAGCUCUUCAUCCUCUGAGAGUUCAAAUGUUGUCCAUCUAUAACAGGCAGUCAUUUUUUACAUGUACAAGAUCUGGAAUAUAUUUAGCAAAACAUAGUUUACCAAUUUGUGUAAAUAUGUGUAGUGGCAUACUGAUUCCUUCUCUUAAAUUAGAGACUAGGUAUUCAUGUGAAUGCUGUUGGCAAUAGUAAUCAUUUUCUUAACGUUUGAUGACCUCUAUCAAGUCACAGGUACAGUGGAUGCCUCCAGUAGUACAAACAUUCUUCACAGCACUCAAACUCCUUUUUCUAAUGCUAAGAUACCCACCUAGUUCCUCAUGAGCCUCUUCAUAUGAGUAUGAGACUUAAGUUAAAGCAGAAGGCCUGUUUGAAUGGAUAUUAACCUCAUCAUCAUCAUCUCUCUGCUGUCCCUCUAACUAUAAGGAGAAGGAGUGAGAGAGCUGGUCUUGAUUAAAGAGCACUCAACUCUUCUUCUCACCUUUCUUGUCCUAACAUACAUUUUCAACUUUGUUUAUAAUCACAUACAAUUUCUGCACAUGAUUUGAAAACAGAAUCAAAUCUCUCCUUUCAGAUGCAUUCAUCCAUCCAUCCCUUCAAAGUGAUGUCACUGAUUUCAUUAUCAACCAACACAGUAACGAAAUGCAUAUCUUAUUCUUUGAUCAUAUUUGUAACAUCUUUUUCAAGAAGGAAGCUGUUGAUGGUCUAUAUAACAAAGAAACUGAAACUGGAUACCCACCAAAAUCUUUCUUAGAACAAAGUUUUAAAAACUUGUGGAAAAAAUAAUUAUGGUAAUGGUAU